UACGAAGGGGGGCUAGCGUUGCUCGGAAUGACUGGGCGUAAAGGGCGCGUAGGCGGAUGGUACAGUCAGAUGUGAAAUUCCUGGGCUUAACCUGGGGGCUGCAUUUGAUACGUGUUGUCUAGAGUGAGGAAGAGGGUCGUGGAAUUCCCAGUGUAGAGGUGAAAUUCGUAGAUAUUGGGAAGAACACCGGUGGCGAAGGCGGCGACCUGGUCCUUGACUGACGCUGAGGCGCGAAAGCGUGGGGAGCAAACAGG
rnacentral:rRNA from 1 species